CAUAUUCCCAAACGACACCGUUUAUCGUUAAACGACAGCGUUUACCUCCUUAGUGUAUUAAACUGGCCGGAGUCGCCGUGAUAGAGUAGAGAAGAUGAGCGGCGGAGGAAACAACGUCGUGAACAAAGUGUUCUACGCGACGUCGUAUCAUCCUAUCCAAGCCGGAAGCAUCGACGGGACCGACGUUGCGCCUCAUGAUAACGGCGUCCGUCGAGCUCUCCUAUGUUACAACGCCGGUCUAUAUGAUCCCUUUGGCGAUUCGAAAGCUGCCGGAGAUCCUUACUGUACCUUAUUCGUCGGUCGAAUCUCUCAUCUUACUACAGAGGAUACUCUUCGUGAGGCUAUGAGCAAACAUGGCAAAGUUAAGAGCUUGCGUUUGAUCAGACACAUUGGUAAGGUUUUGUUCUUCCAAAAUAUUGCCUUUAGCAUAAUCUUCACAUUAUGUUGUUUCCUUUCUAUAGUGACGGGUGCAUCACGAGGAUAUGCUUUUGUGGAGUAUGAGACUGAGAAGGAGAUGCGUCGUGCUUACGAGGAUGCUCAUCAUUCAUUCAUUGAUGGUAGAGAGAUUAUUGUUGAUUACAAUAGACAGCAACUGAUGCCUGGGUGGAUACCAAGACGAUUAGGAGGUGGACUUGGUGGUAGGAAAGAAUCUGGACAACUUCGUUUUGGAGGACGAGAAAGACCGUUCCGUGCUCCCUUGCGGCCAAUCCCUCAUGAAGAUUUGAAGAAGCUUGGGAUCCAGCUUCCACCAGAGGGAAGAUACAUGUCACGUACCCAGAUCCCAUCACCACCGAGGAGAAAAGGGUGUGUGUCCGAUAGAGAGGAAGGAUAUUAUUAUAGGGGAGAAGAGAGGAGCCCUGUCAAGAGAGAAGGGUCAUAUCACAGUCACAGGGAAAGCGAGAGUGCUCAUAGAAGACGCAACAAAGACAAAGAGGAGCGUUCCAGAAUAGAGUCUCGGUAUGACAGAAAAGACCGAUAUGGUGAUAAGGAAGAUGUUUCUGGGAGCAAAAGAUCAAACCAUGGAGAAGAACGUCCUCACAAACGUCAUAAACACAGGCGUCCCCUUCAUCAUAGGAGGUCUUCUAGCCGGGAUCAUCACCAUUCUUCUGACUUAGACACCUAGUGUUCAAUAGAAACACAGCUCUUUCUCUUUGUGCAAUCAAGUCAAUUAGUCAACCAACGUAUUGACAAGACGUGGAGUAUAGAGUUCAAUGGAAUAUAGAAACCAGUUCCAAAAACCAAAUAAGUUCAGUUACUAAGGUUUAUUGCUUGAUGAAGAAGAAAAUAGAGAGACACCAAUAUGAGAAAAGGAUUUCGUGUGGGAAGAGAGGUAUGAGACCGAACCGAACUGUGGCAGCUCAUUGACGGCCAUGUCGCAUCCAAGGUCUUUGACUACUUUGUAUCAAAUUGUUUUCUUCUUAACCAAGUUUUAUAUAUAUCCAAGCUUCGUCUA